rnacentral:rRNA from 1 species
UACAGAGGUCUCAAGCGUUGUUCGGAUUCAUUGGGCGUAAAGGGUGCGUAGGUGGCCUAAUGAGUUUGAUGUGAAAGCUCAGGGCUUAACCCUGAAAUGGCAUUGAAUACUGUUGGGCUGGAGGUUUGGAGGGGGGACUGGAAUUCUUGGUGUAGCAGUGAAAUGCGUAGAUAUCAAGAGGAACACCAGUGGCGAAGGCGAGUCCCUGGACAACACCUGACACUGAGGCACGAAAGCUAGGGGAGCAAACAGG